rfam:Nicotiana sylvestris Nsyl_contig143098, whole genome shotgun sequence.
GGAUGCGAUCAUACAAGCACUAACGCACUGGAUCCCAUCAGAACUCCGAAGUUAGGCGUGUUUGGGCUAGAGUAGUACUUGGAUGGGUGACUCCCUGGGAAGUCCUCGUGUUGCAUCUC